rnacentral:rRNA from 1 species
UUGGACAAUGGGGGCAACCCUGAUCCAGCCAUCCCGCGUGUGCGAUGAAGGCCUUNGGNNUGUAANGNACUUUUGGCAGGGAANNNNNGGCUCUGGCUACUACCUGGAGCUGCUGACGGUACCUGCAGAAUAAGCACCGGCUAACUACGUGCCAGCAGCCGCGGUAAUACGUAGGGUGCAAGCGUUAAUCGGAAUUACUGGGCGUAAAGCGUGCGCAGGCGGUUCGGCAAGAAGGAUGUGAAAUCCCAGGGCUUAACCUUGGAACUGCAUUCUUAACUGCCGGGCUAGAGUAUGUCAGAGGGGGGUAGAAUUCCGCGUGUAGCAGUGAAAUGCGUAGAGAUGCGGAGGAAUACCGAUGGCGAAGGCAGCCCCCUGGGAUAAUACUGACGCUCAUGCACGAAAGCGUGGGGAGCAAAC